UACAGAGGUCUCGAGCGUUGUUCGGAUUCAUUGGGCGUAAAGGGCGCGUAGGCGGCGGGGUAAGUCUGGUGUGAAAUCUCGGAGCUCAACUCCGAAACUGCAUUCGAUACUGCGGUGCUUGAGGACUGGAGAGGAGACUGGAAUUCAUGGUGUAGCAGUGAAAUGCGUAGAUAUCGUAAGGAAGACCAGUGGCGAAGGCGGGUCUCUGGACAGUUCCUGGACGCUGAGGCACGAAGGUCAGGGGAGCAAACGGGGAU
rnacentral:rRNA from 1 species